rnacentral:rRNA from 1 species
UACGUAGGGUGCAAGCGUUGUCCGGAAUUAUUGGGCGUAAAGGGCUCGUAGGCGGUCUGUCACGUCGGGAGUGAAAACUCGGGGCUUAACCCCGAGCCUGCUUCCGAUACGGGCAGACUAGAGGUAUGCAGGGGAGAAUGGAAUUCCUGGUGUAGCGGUGAAAUGCGCAGAUAUCAGGAGGAACACCGGUGGCGAAGGCGGUUCUCUGGGCAUCACCUGACGCUGAGGAGCGAAAGUGUGGGGAGCGAACAGG